rnacentral:rRNA from 1 species
UACGAAGGGUGCAAGCGUUAAUCGGAAUUACUGGGCGUAAAGGGCGCGUAGGCGGCCGAUUAAGUCGGGGGUGAAAGCCUGUGGCUCAACCACAGAAUUGCCUUCGAUACUGGUUGGCUUGAGACCGGAAGAGGACAGCGGAACUGCGAGUGUAGAGGUGAAAUUCGUAGAUAUUCGCAAGAACACCAGUGGCGAAGGCGGCUGUCUGGUCCGGUCCUGACGCUGAGGCGCGAAAGCGUGGGGAGCAAACAGG